AUUGAACGCUGGCGGCAUGCCUUACACAUGCAAGUCGAACGGUAACAGGUCUUCGGAUGCUGACGAGUGGCGAACGGGUGAGUAAUACAUCGGAACGUGCCUAGUAGUGGGGGAUAACUACUCGAAAGAGUGGCUAAUACCGCAUGAGAUCUACGGAUGAAAGCAGGGGAUCGCAAGACCUUGUGCUACUAGAGCGGCCGAUGGCAGAUGAGGUAGUUGGUGGGAAAAAAGCUUACCAAGCCGACGAUCUGUAGCUGGUCUGAGAGGACGAUCAGACCCACUGGUACUGAGAGACGGCCCAGCCUCCUGCGGGAGGCAGCAGUGGGGAAUUUUGCACAAUGGUCGAAAGCCUGAUCCAGCAAUGCCGCGUGCAGGAUGAAGGCCCUCGGGUUGUAAACUGCUUUUGUACGGAACGAAAAGCCCUGGCAUAAUACCCUGGGGUCAUGACGGUACCGUAAGAAUAAGCACCGGCUAACUACGUGCCAGCCGCCGCAGUAA
rnacentral:rRNA from 1 species